AUUGAACGCUGGCGGCAUGAUUUACACAUGCAAGUCGAACGGUAACAGGCCGCAAGGUGCUGACGAGUGGCGAACGGGUGAGUAAUGCAUCGGAACGUGCCCAGUCGUGGGGGAUAACUACUCGAAAGAGUAGUUAAUACCGCAUACGAUCUAUGGAUGAAAGCGGGGGACCGUAAGGCCUCGCGCGAUUGGAGCGGCCGAUGUCAGAUUAGGUAGUUGGUGGGGUAAAGGCUCACCAAGCCAACGAUCUGUAGCUGGUCUGAGAGGACGACCAGCCACACUGGGACUGAGACACGGCCCAGACUCCUACGGGAGGCAGCAGUGGGGAAUUUUGGACAAUGGGCGCAAGCCUGAUCCAGCAAUGCCGCGUGCAGGAAGAAGGCCUUCGGGUUGUAAACUGCUUUUGUACGGAACGAAACGGCUCUGGUUAAUACCCGGGGCUAAUGACGGUACCGUAAGAAUAAGCAUCGGCUAACUACGUG
rnacentral:rRNA from 1 species